CACAAUCAACCUGCAAUCCUUCCACAAACUAUCAUCAUUCCUAACCUUAGAAGCAAAAGUUGGCAAGGUUGAAGAAGCCUCAAUUUAGUAGUUUACUAGUUAAGGCUGAGGUCUUAGGAAUUAAGACCCAAAUUUUUAGCUGUUCCAAAUUCGUCAAAGUCGGUAUGGAGAGCCUUUUCUACUGCUACCCUCUUGCACUUGUUCUGAUGCAAUGCUGUUUCAUUAUUGUCACUUCCACAGCCAUAAUAAGAACAGAUGUUACAACCGAUCGAUCAGCUCUUUUAGCCCUCAAAGCCCACAUCACUUCAGAUCCUCACCAAUUCUUGUCAAAGAACUGGUCUUCAAAUGCUGCUGCAACCUCUUCUGUUCGUGACUGGAUAGGAGUCGAGUGCGGCUCUCGGCACCAGAGAGUGAUGGCUUUGAAUAUUUCAAGCAUGGGACUUGCAGGCACCGUUCCUCCAGAAGUGGGGAACCUCUCUUUUCUUGUUUCUCUUGACAUUGGGAAGCAACUACUUCCAUGGCAAUCGGCCCCAUGAGUUGUCAGGCUUACGCCGCCUCAAGUUCAUCAGUUUAAGCUCCAACAACUUCACUGGGGCCAUUCCAAUGUGGUUUGGUCACUUUCCAGAACUUCAAGUCUUGGCUUUGUACGACAACGAUUUUACUGGCCUAAUUCCUUCUUCAAUCUCUAACCUGUCAAAACUCAAACAUCUGGAUUUUAGGGGAAAUUCCCUGAGAGGGAAGAUUCCUGAACAGAUUGGGAACCUCCAGAGCUUGAAGUUUCUGAAUCUUGAAAUCAAUCAGCUCACUGGUUCCAUACCCUUGUCCAUCUUCAACAUCUCAACCAUGGAAAAAGUUGGAUUCACUUGUAACAACUUAUCUGGAACUCUUCCUGUUGAUCUUUGCCGCCAUCUUCCAAAUCUCAGAAAGAUUGCUCUAUCUUUCAACCAGAUACAUGGUCAAAUCCCAUCAAGUUUAUCUCAAUGUUCACAACUUGAGAGGCAUACGCAUGACGGCGUAUACAUACUUCCAAUUUAUCAUUUUUCACAAACUGGGUCAUUCCACGAGAGAUCGGCAAUCUUAGGAACCUCAAGGAAUUUGGGAUAGAAAGAAACCAAAUCACAGGCUCUAUACCCAGAGAAAUUGAGAAUUUGGCCGAGCUUACAUCGAUUGAAUUUGCGCACAACUUCUUAACAGGUGUAAUACCAAAAGAGAUGUCCAACCUUCACAAACUGGAGGCACUUUAUUUAAUAUUCAAUGAGUUAAAUGGCUCAAUACCGGUUGGGAUCUUCAACCUCUCAACGAUGAGCGUGGUUUCAUUGGGAUUCAAUCACCUUACAGGCAAUCUUCCUUCGAAUAUUGGUAACCAAUGGCCAAAUUUAGAAAAGUUUCAUCUUAGCGGAAAUAACAUUGGUGGACUUAUGCCAGCUUCUAUUGUAAAUUGCUCUAAAUUAAAAGCACAUUAGUCAAUUCACUUCAGAACUGGACUACCCUUUGACUCAAAAGACUUAUUGCCAAAGAGAAUCUGGGAACCAAGAGCAGGCAUGCUAUUCCUCUUUAAAGGGUAUGAGUGGGAGAUCUUGAUUGAAGUUUUAACAUUUCUCCAUAUACUCCUCAGAGUGUAACUCUAUACAAUUUUUCCUAAUCAAUUAUUGAUAAAUGCUUCAAAAAUUAA